rnacentral:rRNA from 1 species
AUUGAACGCUGGCGGCAGGCCUAACACAUGCAAGUCGAGCGGAUGAAGGGAGCUUGCUCCUGGAUUCAGCGGCGGACGGGUGAGUAAUGCCUAGGAAUCUGCCUGGUAGUGGGGGAUAACGUCCGGAAACGGGCGCUAAUACCGCAUACGUCCUGAGGGAGAAAGUGGGGGAUCUUCGGACCUCACGCUAUCAGAUGAGCCUAGGUCGGAUUAGCUAGUUGGUGGGGUAAAGGCCUACCAAGGCGACGAUCCGUAACUGGUCUGAGAGGAUGAUCAGUCACACUGGAACUGAGACACGGUCCAGACUCCUACGGGAGGCAGCAGUGGGGAAUAUUGGACAAUGGGCGAAAGCAUGAUCCAGCAAUGCCGCGUGUGUGAAGAAGGUCUUCGGAUUGUAAAGCACUUUAAGUUGGGAGGAAGGGAAGUAAGUUAAUACCUUGCUGUUUUGACGUUACCAACAGAAUAAGCACCGGCUAACUUCGUG